rnacentral:rRNA from 1 species
CGACUGGCGGCAGCUAUACAUGCAAGUCGAGCGGACAGAAGGGAGCUUGCUCCCGGAUGUUAGCGGCGGACGGGUGAGUAACACGUGGGUAACCUGCCUGUAAGACUGGGAUAACUCCGGGAAACCGGAGCUAAUACCGGAUAGUUCCUUGAACCGCAUGGUUCAAGGAUGAAAGACGGUUUCGGCUGUCACUUACAGAUGGACCCGCGGCGCAUUAGCUAGUUGGUGAGGUAACGGCUCACCAAGGCGACGAUGCGUAGCCGACCUGAGAGGGUGAUCGGCCACACUGGGACUGAGACACGGCCCAGACUCCUACGGGAGGCAGCAGUAGGGAAUCUUCCGCAAUGGACGAAAGUCUGACGGAGCAACGCCGCGUGAGUGAUGAAGGUUUUCGGAUCGUAAAGCUCUGUUGUUAGGGAAGAACAAGUGCAAGAGUAACUGCUUGCACCUUGACGGUACCUAACCAGAAAGCCACGGCUAACUACGUGCCAGCAGCCGCGGUAAUACGUAGGUGGCAAGCGUUGUCCGGAAUUAUUGGGCGUAAAGGGCUCGCAGGCGGUUUCUUAAGUCUGAUGUGAAAGCCCCCGGCUCAACCGGGGAGGGUCAUUGGAAACUGGGAAACUUGAGUGCAGAAGAGGAGAGUGGAAUUCCACGUGUAGCGGUGAAAUGCGUAGAGAUGUGGAGGAACACCAGUGGCGAAGGCGACUCUCUGGUCUGUAACUGACGCUGAGGAGCGAAAGCGUGGGGAGCGAACAGGAUUAGAUACCCUGGUAGUCCACGCCGUAAACGAUGAGUGCUAAGUGUUAGGGGGUUUCCGCCCCUUAGUGCUGCAGCUAACGCAUUAAGCACUCCGCCUGGGGAGUACGGUCGCAAGACUGAAACUCAAAGGAAUUGACGGGGGCCCGCACAAGCGGUGGAGCAUGUGGUUUAAUUCGAAGCAACGCGGAGGACCCUUACCAGGUCUUGACAUCCCUCUGACAACCCUAGAGAUAGGGACUUUCCCUUCGGGGACAGAGUGACAGGUGGUGCAUGGAUGUCGUCAGCUCGUGUCGUGAGAUGUGGGGUAGUCCCGCAACGAGCGCAACCUUGAUCUUAGUUGCCAGCAUUCAGUUUGGGCCACCUCU